GUGAUAGAGCUGCAUUUGCACCUGCACCUACAGAGAGGAAGAUGAAGCAGCAAGCUAGCAAUACGUGCUUGAUCGCUAUACGCUAGCUUCUUGCACACAAUGUUGUUCCUGGUCUCUUCCUGAUCCCUAGGUGCAGAGGCAGAUGCAACUAUGUCAU
rnacentral:ncRNA from 2 species